rnacentral:tRNA from 1 species
GCGGGUAUAGUUCACCGGUAGAAUGCCACCUUCCCAAGGUGGAGAAGAGGGUUCGAUUCCCUUUACCCGCU